GACGAACCGUCCAAACGUUAUUCGGAAUCACUGGGCUUAAAGGGUGCGUAGGCGGCGCGGCAAGUUGGGUGUGAAAUACCUCGGCUCAACCGAGGAACUGCGCCCAAAACUGCCGUGCUCGAGGAAGAUAGAGGUGAGCGGAACUUAGGGUGGAGCGGUGAAAUGCGUUGAUAUCCUAAGGAACACCGGUGGCGAAAGCGGCUCACUGGAUCUUUUCUGACGCUGAGGCACGAAAGCUAGGGUAGCGAACGGG
rnacentral:rRNA from 1 species